AUGGACGCUGGCGGCGUGCCUAAUCCAUGCAAGUCGAGCGAACAGACGAGGAGCUUGCUCCUCUGACGUUAGCGGCGGACGGGUGAGUAACACGUGGAUAACCUACCUAUAAGACUGGGAUAACUUCGGGAAACCGGAGCUAAUACCGGAUAAUAUAUUGAACCGCAUGGUUCAAUAGUGAAAGACGGUUUUGCUGUCACUUAUAGAUGGAUCCGCGCCGCAUUAGCUAGUUGGUAAGGUAACGGCUUACCAAGGCGACGAUGCGUAGCCGACCUGAGAGGGUGAUCGGCCACACUGGAACUGAGACACGGUCCAGACUCCUACGGGAGGCAGCAGUAGGGAAUCUUCCGCAAUGGGCGAAAGCCUGACGGAGCAACGCCGCGUGAGUGAUGAAGGUCUUCGGAUCGUAAAACUCUGUUAUUAGGGAAGAACAAAUGUGUAAGUAACUAUGCACGUCUUGACGGUACCUAAUCAGAAAGCCACGGCUAACUACGUG
rnacentral:rRNA from 1 species